CUCUUCAGCAGUCAAGCUUCAAGGCUUUGGCUUCCCAGUAAGUGCUAUGACAGAACGCUGCAGAAGCACGUUCAGUCAAGUAGUUAAAGUUGCAAUAACAAUUAGGAAGGAUCUCCAUUAGGUACCUUGAGCCAGAACAAUCAUCAUCAUAACACUGACGUAGAUCCAAAUUCAAGCUAAAUUAAAUGGCCACAAGGCGAAGAAUAACAAACAAAAGCAUCCCAAGAUCCACAGAACUCAUAGCCCAAAGCAGAUGAGUUAUUGGUCUGAUUCAUAAUUCAAGUUUCUGCAGUUCCAUUACAUUAUUACGUAUAAAAAUCAAAAGCCUUUAAGUUCACAAAGCAGUGGAAACUCAAAGUUUGAAAAAGGUCGAAAUGCCACUAAGAUGAAAUCAGAUAACUUCAGCAUUGUGUGUAAUGACCUGAACUUCAAGCAACUCUUACACACACAGUGUGUCAUAGAAUGGAAGAAAGCCUCAGAAGGUCUCCACCUGCUCUGAAAGCCCUGAGACACUCAUCUGAUUCUAUUUACUGUUAUUUGGGGUAGUCAGUCUGUGACUGCCCAAAGCAGACUGCUCCCACCCUGACCAAGUGACCUAAGCAAUGCACUGCUGAGUCCCAGCCUUUCUGAGUUCAGAACUGUCUCUUUCAACUGAGGUUUCAGCAGCCAAAGCCAGGGCCUGACAGUCCUUGUGUAAGUGAUUCAGAAUGUAAAUUCCCCCACUCCUCCCUGAGAAAGUCAGCAGGAAAACCAUCCAGGAGCAGUUUGCCAAAACAAGUCCCAAAUUCAGGCUUUGUGUCAAAAUAACUUCCCAGGCUGCCCAGGGUGGUGGUGGAGUCACCAUCCCUGGAUGUGCUCAAGGAAUGUGUAGAUGUGGCACUGAGGGACAUGGUUAGUGGGCAUGGUGGGGAUGGGUUGAUGGCUAGACUAGAUGACUUUAGGGGUUUUUUUCCAACUCUACAACUUGUGUGCAGCCUUUAUACGCAGAGGGAAUCCAGACCACAAUGCCACCUUCCCAGACUUGAUCCACACCCUUCCCACUGCCCCACGUGUUCAGUAGGAAUAUCAGCCACUAGGACCCCUGACCAACCCACAAUAUUGAGCUCUGCAGACACUUCCAACUUCCACAUGCACACAGCCUUCUCCUCGCAUCAAAGUUCAUUACUUCUACACUCAUCAUGUGAUUGGACUUUACAAUUGUUUAAGACUAUGGAUAAAAUGCCAUUGAUUGCACUUGCUGAUUGUGAAGGGCUGCUGAGUUGCUGUGAUUUACUCCGUUUCAUGGCACGGAAUAUACACACAUCCAUGCAUGCAGAUUCACAUCAUGGCUACAGUGAUGUUUCUGUAUAGCUGGGCUGCACAAAACACACAGUUACCUGUUGUCAUAACAAGAAAACAAGCAGGAAGCUCAGAAAGGAUAGCUUCAACUCCCGUUAAGACCAAAGCUAGCAGACGCUCAAUGACAAACUCCUCAGAGAUUUGAAGCCUUCAGGCUGAUUUAAGGAAUUUAUAGCCAGCUAUACAUCCAAUCAAACACAGGCGUAAAUCGUACAAAGAUCGUUUCCCAGGAAUGACUUCAUGGCACGAGGUGUUCUGGAAGAACCCUGACACUCAGGGUGGACGUAAAUCGCCUCGGACAAGGUUAAACAAAUUACCAACCCGUCGGGAGGUGGAUGACUCGCUCCCACCCGCUCUAUGUGCCACUGUCCUGCUUACUUGCUUCGCGCCGCGCAAUAAAAAUCAGCUGGAAAGUUUCGUUUUUGCUUUUCAUUGGUUUCACUUUCCAGACGCCUGCAAGCCACGAAAAGUUUCUGUUUGGUUUCUCUCUAAACCCGAGCAAUGAGCGGGGAAGAGGAGAAAGGCGCGAGUGGAGCCGAGCGGGCGCUCCAGCAGCGCUGGCUGAGGGUAAGCAGAAAGUCUCAAAUUCUGAAGUUAAAAUAAUAUGACUGUUGAAAGGUUCACCACUUCUACACACAGCAGUGGUUGACAAACAGUGACCAGCAGGAUUGCAGUCCAAAUUCACUAUCAGCAAACUGGUUUAUCAUCCAAACUUCAGGUGAAAACACUGCUGGGAACAUUUACCGUGAUCUCAUGGACCACGAAGACAGAAGUUCAGACUAGACUAUGAAAACCAUAAGGUAUCCUGCAUCUUCACCUGAGCCGCACAACAGUCAUCAUAUUUGUCCAGAUCUCUUUCAAAGAGGCUGCUGGUCAGUAGGAAUUAUUUACUGGCUUCUGAAAUGAGUUGAACUGUAAAAAUCCCUCUUUAAUGUUGCAAUGAUGUAUCAAAAUAAAAGUUUGAUGAGGACUGUAUAACGCUAGGCAUGAUUCAUUUCAAUAGUAAAACACACGUUUAUGGGAAAAAAAGAAGGAGCCUGAGAUUUAAUUGAUAUGAUCAACUGGGUUUUUAUACUGUUUUACAAACUAGUAAAAUUAAAAAACA